rnacentral:misc_RNA from 1 species
CAGAAGAUAAUCCUCCAAAAUAUCACGCAACCACAGUGAUUGACUACAAAAAUUAUGUCCUUAAUAAAGGCCUAGAUGGAACUUCUGCGCUGUUGAGUUACAAGAUCUAAUAUAAUAAUGUACCAGUAAGUGGUGUUACACCUCUUCAUCAAAAUAAGGAGUGUUCUUAUCUUUUUUUCAACGUAUUUAUCAAGGAUAAGUUAGUGAAAAUACAUCUUAAUAUCUAAGAAG